AUGCACUGGGCGCUCAGGUCUGCGCGAAGCUGUCGCGGGAGCAGGCACCUUGUGGUCAGCUCUGGGACCCGCAUUUGCAGUGAGUGCGUGGAGCCCCAGGCAAGGCCUGGGAAAGGUUGCAGGUGAAGAGAGGGCACCCUGUCGUCCUGCCAAGGAAAAAUUGGCGGCUGAAAAUGUUUCUGGCUUCUUGGAGAAGGUGAGGCUGGACGAGGAAACAGGAAGUUAAUUUGGCUAGGAGAUAAACCGUCACUCACCCUGCAUGUAACCUGGACGUGACCUGCACGUCCUGGGAGCUUCUGUUUUCCUGUCCCCACGCACUCGCAGCGUGCAGACCAAUAUGGUUUCCAGUUAUUUAUAUACUUAUUUACUGUCUGUCUCCCUCUGCUAGACUGUGCUCUUUUUGAUAGCAUAGGCCCUGGCUCAGUCCAUGCCCUAAGUACUGGUGAAGUGGGUAAAUUAAUCGUUGAGAAAAUUUCUGAUCGCUUCUUGGUCUUUUGGCUAAGAUCAAGUGGAGAAAGCCUCUGAAUGGCUGCAGGCUCUGCCUGUCAUCUUGAUAGUUACAAAACAUGGGGCUUCUGGCUCCUGCCCUAAAAUAACACUUGACGUUUUUAAAACUACCCCUUUUUUUUUGCUCUAGCACGGAGGUAUCCAGUUAGAAAGCACCUUCCCGAAAUAUAGAUUCCUUCUUUCCACCCCCGACCUUCAUUUUCUGAGAUGUGAAGACUGAAAUCCCAGAGGGACCUGAGGAAAUUCCAGAAAGGAAUUCCUGUUUAUUUUCUGUAAUUCAGCCCACGCAUCGUCCCUUUCAGGUGCCUUCACCCACCCAGCCGCCGCGGAACUCCCCUGCUCCAGUUCCUCAGUCCCUCCUCAUUUCCUUCCUACAUCUAGGGGCCACCAUUGUUGCGGUUCGCAUGCUGCUUUGGAAUUUUCGGUUUACAGUUUUGUCUCCCCCUAAUAGCCUUGUGGGUUUUCAGUGGGCAAGGACUGGGGCAGCUCAACCAGAAGGGGAUUUCGGGAGUCUAUUAUGAAUAAAUGAAAAAUAAAAGUCCUAAGAUCAAGAACUGG